UUAGAUUGGAGCCUCUUCUAAGAUACUUUCAUAAAUUUACAAACUUAACCAAAUCAUGGAGACCGUAGUACAUCAAUGAACAUUUUCUCCAAAUGAUCUUUAAAAAAAAAUAAAUUUUUAUGAUUAUUCAACAGAAACAAAGUCAUCAUGGAACAAAUUUGUGUGAAUGUUCGUCUUUUGACAGUAUUAGAAUAUCAUCAAUGUAGUGAAGGAUAAAAUCAUCAUACUUAUUUAAAAUAUUAUGGAGAGCGCGAACUAAAGCACUACAGGAACUCUGCAAACCAUAAGGCACAACACAAAAUCUGUAAAGAACACCAUCAAUCAUAAAAGCAGUAUAAUCCCUGGAUUCAUGGGCUAAAGGAAUCAACCAAAAACUAUGUCUCAAAUCUACUUUGCUAAAAUAUUUUGCCCCCGUUAUUCUCCCGAAAAUAGUUUCUGUUGUAGCAGGUGCUUCGUAUUGUGAUACUACAUGAGCUCCCAUGUCCAAAAAUUCCCUAUGAUGUUCAUACAGUUUGGUUGCAAUAUUGCCUAGCAGGUGCGAUCUACAAAACCCGGUUCAAAUGUUUCCAUCUGUCCGGAUGACAUUGAUGGUUGAUCUGAAUCAUUACCAUCCAUCACUACAUUAUUGACUUCAAACCGUGCCCUCCUAUCAUUAUUACCACGACUAUUUGGAGGUUGAUCAGAA